CCUCAUUUCAUUUCAAAUAGCUAAAGUAGGAUAACAAUCCAACGGGGCUUCUGAACAAAGAACAUCCAACAAAAGUUGGGGAGGGCUAGAGGUCCAGUUUAGAGGGAGGGACUGACGGAGUUGGGCUUUGGCGACCCAAUCCGCAGCUUUAUUUUGCCCUCUGAAACAGUGAGUUAAACUUAAAUUUGGCAAAGAAGAGAGUGCGGCCUGGCCUUUCUUGAUAAGUACAGUGACUUCCCACGGUUCUUGAUCUGCUCCCAGAAGUGUCUGAACUAAAGUGAGACAGUCAGACUCCACAGUUAACACACGUGUGCCCUUUUCCUUCUCCCCACUCGGAGGCGAACUUCAAACCCUCAAUUACUGCUAGGGUUUCAGCAUGCAGUGCUGAUUGCGCCCUUCACCUCUCGGGCGAACCCACCCAUCAACACUCCGGAGGCGUCUCUCCACACUCCGGCGAUCGCUCCAGUAGAAGUUCCGGCAACGAAAGCACCAUCAACGUUGAUUUUAAGCAAACCCAAAGCCGGCGGAAUCCAUUUGAAGGUUGAGUUUUGAUCUUCUGCUGAGUUAACCUUCUGAUUCGAGCACCAAGAUUUAAAAAUUUUCAUGCUUUACAAGUGUUUCGGACACAACUCCCCGUGGAUCUGGCAUUUUAGCUCGGAAAAUGGCUGCGUUCCUCUCUUUCCAAAUGAACCAGAGCACUUCAGCCAUUACCUCAAGGUUAGGUGUAUCGGGCAAGUCACUCUUGUAGUUUAGAAGCCAUCGAUCUAUACUGGUGAGACCUUCUCUCUGUAUCCGUAUGCGUAGAUUUUAGUCUGACCAUACUUCAGUUGUCCAGGGACAGAGUAGGAACAAGUGUUCUGCUGUUUCUGGGCUCGUUCUGCACAAAGAGCACAUCGGGUCAGGUAAAGCUCUUCGUUUGAAUAAAUUUUCCUUCGUAGGGAGUGCAUUUUGGCAUAGAUUCCCCAUGAAAAUUCUGAUUUUGGGUAGGGUCUGCAAAUUCCACACUUUGCACCACAAAGUUCUAGGCUUUUGGUAAGAGGACGAUGCUUGUUUAUGAGUUAAGUCCUUGUCCCCUUUCCUGAGCAAAUUAUACCCACUUUUGACUGAAUAGGUUCCGGACUUUGCUGCUGUCCAUACUAUUCUGUCUUCCUCUCCGGUGGAUGGGAUGGGGAUCGCCAGUAUUUCAUUAGCGAUUCUAUCUUCAAACAUGUUUUGGAUUGUUUCUUCCUUCCAUGAGUAGUUGUGUUUGUCUAUCAACUCGGUAACAAGGAUGAUACAAAUGUUGGAGAAGGAAGAAGCGUGGAUUUAUAGGGGCGUGAGAUUAAUGAACUAUUGUUAGAGAUGGGGUUUACAAUUUGAUUUAAUUACUUGGAUUAUUCAAAGACCAGAGAUGAUAUGGUUUUGUAAUAACAUUUUGUUGUGCGUAGCUUACAACUUUUUAUAA